UUCCCCCUCUUCACUCUUCUAUAUUUGAUAACAUCCUUUUCCCACUCUUCCCUCUUGUAUUCCACUUUUGAACCUUAAAAAUCUUCCACCACUUUCUAUGCUGCAUCUAAUCAAUUAAAAUAUUAUUUUUAACAACAAACAGACAAUCUAUAAGAUAUUAAUCUUGACUGUUUUCAGAUUAUAUAUAAAUUUAAAUCCGGAAACAGUCAAAAACAUUAUUUUUAUUUGACAUACCAAAAUAAAUCCCACGUAAACAUCGAGCUAUCUGAUUUGAAUUUGCCGAGCAGUCAGAAGUAACAAUGGCGCAAAUUGCAGUGGGCGAAGGAAGUAGGGGUUCUUCCACGCUUGCGUUAGUUGAAACGCCUUCAUCUUCGCAGCCCACGCAGCAGGUUCUGACGCUCCGCUUGGCCCGUCGCCCUAGAAAGAAGGUCACAUGGAAGGAAGGCACCGUCGACAACGAGUUUAUGAACAAGAAAAGCUCUAAAAAAUGCUGUAUUUUUCACAGGGAGAAGCCCUUCGAUGAGGACAACAGUGACGACGAUUGUGACGAAAAACGAAGAAAAGAGAGAGACAAUUCUAUGUCAUGUGACCGUGGCCAAAGUAGUGGCGGGAAUUCCUGCUUGCACCAGCAUUAGGGCAUGCGAAAUUUGUUUUAAUUUUCAGAGCAAGAAGUUUCAAACCGAAUCUAGCUAUUUCGGAUUUCAGGGCAUCCGUUAGUUUUCAUUGUACGGCUUUUAAUGAUCAAAGACUCAGUGUCUCGAAGAGCGUCUUGCAAAGCAGACAUGGAUUUACUCAUUCGAGCUCUUGAUAUGGUUACAUGUUAUUUCUGUGUCUGGGAUAUUUUCAAACAAAUGUGCAUUUUCGUGCUAUUAUAGUCUCAAUGGACUGGUUGGAAUAUCUUGUAAGUUGUCAUUUGGAUAAAUAAAAAUAUUUCUCAUCAUAGAAAGAGGGCCAAUAAUUGUAAAUUAGAUGGAAUAACCCAUUUAAACAAUAAUUUUCGAUUUUAGGGGUUAUUUAGAGGGUUAUGGUAUGAACAUCAUGCUGAAUAGGUCACAAGGUGCAACAAAACAGAUGUUGUGGCCGUUGAAUCAAUGCUUGCAAAGUUUUAUCUGCAUAAGAGUAAUUGAGGGAGGAUUCAUUCAUGACUUCUCUUUAUGUAAUUGUUAUUUAUGGAAUGCUUUAUUGUGGCAAAGAUAGGCCAAGAUAAAUGACUUAUAUCCCAAAAUUACGGGAAGUAAUAAGUGUGAAACUGGGAUCUAUAAUAUCUGGUUAAAAAAACCAUGAAUGAGGAUUCAUAUAAAGUACUGAAAGUUAAAUUGUAAAGUCCACAAUAAAGAUAAAAGGAAGCGUUUUUUUUUUGUUAA